CGCGGGGCCCCGGGCCCGAGACUGGCGCCCCGCGCCCCGGAUUCGCCUCGGCUCGGCCGCGCGGCAUUGAAAAGGAAAAGAUGAAAUAUAUGUUUAUAUAUAACUCUGUUUCUACAUACCUCACUGAAGUCAAAACGCAUUUAAUUGUUAUAUUUCCCUUUCUCCAUGAUCUCCGACACUGGUAAAGUAGAAGAAACUGAGUGGGUGGCGCAGCUCGGCGGUGAAGUGGGCGGCCCAAGCCCGGCUUGGUUCGGAGCCCGGCGCGGCUACUCCCUGCAUAGUUGUGUGACCUUUGGCAAGUUCGUUCAUCUCUCUGCCUCCGUGUCCUUCGUUCUGCAGUGUCCGUAAAAACAGCACUUCGGUUUGUUGUGACGGCGGGUGAAUGAGUAAGUGAUGAAUGCAGGUGCACGCAGAUCUCCAGGCAAUACAGGCCGGCCCGUGGCAGCAUCCGCGCGAGCCUCGGAGCGUCCGGCCGUCACUCUCUCGAGUGGUUGUGUUUCUGUGUUUUCAUAGCAGGACCCGGAACAGGUCCGUGCACGAAGCGCCUGAUAACUUUGUGCGGUUAACGAAUGGACGCGCAGCCCUUGCGCGUGACUCGUGGAAGACCUCGCAGGUCCCGACCCGGUGUCCGUACGGUCCCUCCGCAGCAGCGGCCCC